ACUAGUUAAUAACCUCUAAUUACCUUAACAUGAUACAAAACAUUUUUAAGGACAAUAUCAUGCAAGUAUAAUAAAACCUAAGUUUUUUUGGGAUGAAAAAUAUGGAAUUGAGAAGGUAGAUAGACAUUGUACAUUAGGAAACGUUGCAAAAUGGAAUCUGGAAAUCUCAACAGGUUUUAAACCAUUUCAUUUCUGUCCGAGCUAAAGUGGCGAAGAGCUCUGGCCUGAUUCAUGACGCAAUGGAUAUACUACAAAUGGAGAAGGAAGAUGGGAAACCAGGAAAACAAAAAAUAGAACCCUUCAACUCCUCUUCCAGGAUCUACACGUACAGCAACAAAACAUCCCCCC